rnacentral:rRNA from 1 species
ACUGGUGAGUAACACGUGGGAAAUCUGCCCCCCAUCAAGGGAUAACACUUGGAAACAGGUGCUAAUACCGUAUAACAACAAAAUCCGCAUGGAUUUUGUUUGAAAGGUGGCUUCGGCUAUCGCUUCUGGAUGAUCCCGCGGCGUAUUAGUUAGUUGGUGAGGUAAAGGCCCACCAAGACGAUGAUACGUAGCCGACCUGAGAGGGUAAUCGGCCACAUUGGGACUGAGACACGGCCCAAACUCCUACGGGAGGCAGCAGUAGGGAAUCUUCCACAAUGGACGAAAGUCUGAUGGAGCAAUGCCGCGUGAGUGAAGAAGGGUUUCGGCUCGUAAAACUCUGUUGUUAAAGAAGAACACCUUUGAGAGUAACUGUUCAAGGGUUGACGGUAUUUAACCAGAAAGCCACGGCUAACUACGUGCCAGCAGCCGCGGUAAUACGUAGGUGGCAAGCGUUGUCCGGAUUUAUUGGGCGUAAAGCGAGCGCAGGCGGUUUUUUAAGUCUGAUGUGAAAGCCUUCGGCUUAACCGGAGAAGUGCAUCGGAAACUGGGAGGCUUGAGUGCAGAAGAGGACAGUGGAACUCCAUGUGUAGCGGUGGAAUGCGUAGAUAUAUGGAAGAACACCAGUGGCGAAGGCGGCUGUCUAGUCUGUAACUGACGCUGAGGCUCGAAAGCAUGGGUAGCGAACAGGAUUAGAUACCCUGGUAGUCCAUGCCGUAAACGAUGAGUGCUAAGUGUUG